CUGUCCCUAUCCCUCUCACUGUCUUUCCCUGUCUCUCUCUCUCUCCCCCGAGCUCCCUUCUUUCUUUCUUCUUCUUCCUUCGAGUGUACAGACAAACCCAAAACCCACCAAAUCUUUGCAGAUCGUGGGCACCAAGUACACCAUCAAGUUCCUGAGGCUAAGAGGAGUCCAGUGAUGCCAUUUUCAGGAGCUUGGGAGUAGCUCGUUGGGUGGAUUUGGACGUUGGAUUAGCUUGGUCCAAGUUUGACCGAUUUUGGUAAUUGGUGACAGGUGACACGUAUCCCGAGGACGAGCGUGCACACUCGAGGCAGGGGGGCUACGACCCUUCCACA